UAACUAUUUCAUGUGUGUAUGUAUGCACAUAUAUACGCAUGCAUAUACACACGUUGUCGCUAUAUCACAAUUUCACAUUGAAGUUCAUUCAUGUUUUUUACACCUAUAUAGUGUGUGUACAUAGAAUGUGUGUGUGUGUGUGUGUGUAUGCAUGUAAAUAUUGUGUGCAUAUGGAAGCUUUUGGGUGUGUGAGGUGUUUGUGUGUGUGUGUAAAAUGCUUUUAUUAAAUACAUCACUUGAAAUAAUAUAUCACAUAGACGGACGUGUGCAUGUGUGUAUGUGUUUGGAUUUGUGUGUAUGUGUGUGCAUGUGUGUAUAUGUGCGUAUAUGACUGUAUGUGUGUUUGG